GAUGAACGCUGGCGGCGUGCCUAAUACAUGCAAGUCGAGCGAACAGACGAGGAGCUUGCUCCUCUGACGUUAGCGGCGGACGGGUGAGUAACACGUGGAUAACCUACCUAUAAGGCUGGGAUAACUUCGGGAAACCGGAGCUAAUACCGGAUAAUAUAUUGAACCGCAUGGUUCAAUAGUGAAAGACGGUUUUGCUGUCACUUAUAGAUGGAUCCGCGCCGCAUUAGCUAGUUGGUAAGGUAACGGCUUACCAAGGCAACGAUGCGUAGCCGACCUGAGAGGGUGAUCGGCCACACUGGAACUGAGACACGGUCCAGACUACUACGGGAGGCAGCAGUAGGGAAUCUUCCGCAAUGGGCGAAAGCCUGACGGAGCAACGCCGCGUGAGUGAUGAAGGUCUUCGGAUCGUAAAACUCUGUUAUUAGGGAAGAACAAAUGUGUAAGUAACUAUGCACGUCUUGACGGUACCUAAUCAGAAAGCCACGGCUAACUACGUG
rnacentral:rRNA from 1 species